AGAGUUUGAUCCUGGCUCAGAUUGAACGCUGGCGGAAUGCUUUACACAUGCAAGUCGAGCGGCAGCGCGGGGCAACCUGGCGGCGAGCGGCGAACGGGUGAGUAACAUAUCGGAACGUAUCCAUAAGUGGGGGACAACCUGGCGAAAGCCAGGCUAAUACCGCAUACGCAGGAGACUGGAAAGUGGGGGACCGCAAGGCCUCACGCUUUAGGAGCGGCCGAUAUCCGAUUAGCUUGUUGGUGAGGUAAAGGCUUACCAAGGCUAUGAUCGGUAGCUGGUCUGAGAGGAUGAUCAGCCACACUGGAACUGAGACACGGUCCAGACUCCUACGGGAGGCAGCAGUGGGGAAUUUUGGACAAUGGGGGCAACCCUGAUCCAGCCAUUCCGCGUGAGUGAAGAAGGCCUUCGGGUUGUAAAGCUCUUUUGUUCGGGACGAAACGGUUAAGGUUAAUAACCUUGACUACUGACGGUACCGGAAGAAUAAGCACCGGCUAACUACGUGCCAGCAGCCGCGGUAAU
rnacentral:rRNA from 1 species